CAGUCGCCACGGGAACACGAAGGGUGCAAGCGUUAAUCGGAAUUACUGGGCGUAAAGGGUGCGUAGGCGGUUGUUUAAGUCUGUUGUGAAAUCCCCGGGCUCAACCUGGGAAUGGCAAUGGAAACUGGACGGCUAGAGUGUGUCAGAGGAUGGUGGAAUUCCCGGUGUAGCGGUGAAAUGCGUAGAUAUGUGGAGGAAUACCGAUGGCGAAGGCAGCCCCCUGGGAUAACACUGACGCUCAUGCACGAAAGCGUGGGAGCAAACAGGAUUAGAGACCCGAGUAGUCCCUGUCUCUUAUACA
rnacentral:rRNA from 1 species